UUUAAGAUAUAUAACGUACUUUCUAAAGUCUUUUACAUUUAUACAAAAAUGCAAUGAUAAAUAUAAUUAAAAACACUUAACUAUGCAUAGGUAUUAAAAUCUCUUUCUAUACAAUUUUGUGUAUUUUACUUUUUUAUAAAAAAUAAAUUACCAAUUUAAUUAAAUUUCUCAAUUUUCUUUUUACUUACUUAUGAAUGCAUGAGUAUUUGCACAACUGUAAUAAUUAUAAACAUAUACAUAUCAAUGUAUUAACGUAAUUUAAAGUUUAUACAUAAAACUAUAUAAAAAACUGAUUAAUUUUCAUAGAUGUUAUUAAUAAUAAUAAAAGUAUAUCGAUGGUCAUAUGUCAGCUUAUACUUCAAUUUGUCACAUAUCAUUGCCCGUUAUAGAAUAUGGUUUCUCAUAAACGCAAUUAAUUCCAGUCAUUUUAACAGCAAACAUUAUAAUAAUUAAACAAGUUUAAUUACGCAGAGAAUUUAUUUUAUUAAUUAUUACCAUUUGUGGUUAAUGUAACUAUUUAUUUUGUAUUUUAUUCUUGCCAAUUUACACUACAGAGUAAUAUUAGAACAUUAUCAUGAGGUUGAUUAUCUCUAUCAAUGUUACACAAUUAAUGUUUGAUCUAUAAUCUUGUUUCUUUAAUCUUUGUUUCUUUUUUUAUAUUGAAGUAAGGAUAUAUGUAUAUACAAUAUAGCUGCAGUUAUUUUACAUAAUUGCGCUUAUUGCAGUGAAGAAAUAAUCUGCAAAACGAAAUGAAAAGCCUCGUGUUUUAACAUUUGCUUUUCAGUCGUCUAGUUCAGCAAAACUAAAACUCAAAGAUACAGAAGGAUCAAACUUUGAGAAUAAUGUUCGAACUUGAUUGGAAGAAAAUAAUGCGAAUAGGAGUAAAUUGUAAUUACGUACAUUACACCGGUCGACAUGAUAGAUAUGGAUUAGAUUUCUUUAAACAUUUACCGUAGAUUUUUGGAAUGCUGAAUACAAAUCUGGCCGUAAAUUUGCUUAUUAUUGUAAGUUUACAAGAUAAAUAGGCAUAUAGAUUGAAAGAACCAAAUAUGGCGUUUAUAAGCAAUGUUUCUGUAAGGAUUUUUAUUUUAGUCCAAAAUAUAGCUUUUGACAAAAUUUUAUCGAAA